AACGGCCGCCANUGUGCUGGAAUUCGCCCUUGAGUUUGAUCCUGGCUCAGAUUGAACGCUGGCGGCAGGCCUAACACAUGCAAGUCGAGCGGAAACGAGUUAACUGACCCUUCGGGUGACGUUAACGGCGUCGAGCGGCGGACGGGUGAGUAAUGCCUGGGAAAUUGCCCUGAUGUGGGGGAUAACCAUUGGAAACGGUGGCUAAUACCGCAUAAUGCCUUCGGGCCAAAGAGGGGGACCUUCGGGCCUCUCGCGUCAGGAUAUGCCCAGGUGGGAUUAGCUAGUGGGUAAGGUAAUGGCUCACCAAGGCGACGAUCCCUAGCUGGUCUGAGAGGAUGAUCAGCCACACUGGAACUGAGACACGGUCCAGACUCCUACGGGAGGCAGCAGUGGGGAAUAUUGCACAAUGGGCGCAAGCCUGAUGCAGCCAUGCCGCGUGUGUGAAGAAGGCCUUCGGGUUGUAAAGCACUUUCAGUCGUGAGGAAGGUAGUGUAGUUAAUAGCUGCAUUGCUUGACGUUAGCGACAGAAGAAGCACCGGCUAACUCCGUGCCAGCAGCCGCGGUAAUACGGAGGGUGCGAGCGUUAAUCGGAAUUACUGGGCGUAAAGCGCAUGCAGGUGGUUCGUUAAGUCAGAUGUGAAAGCCCGGGGCUCAACCUCGGAACAGCAUUUGAAACUGGCGGACUANAGUACUGUAGAGGGGGGUAGAAUUUCAGGUGUAGCGGUGAAAUGCGUANAGAUCUGAAGGAAUACCGGUGGCGAAGGCGGCCCCCUGGACAAAUACUGACACUCAGAUGCGAAAGCGUGGGGAGCAAACAGGAUUAAAUACCCUGGGUAAUCCACCCCGUAAACGAUGUCUACUUGGAAG
rnacentral:rRNA from 1 species